rnacentral:rRNA from 1 species
UACGGAGGGUGCAAGCGUUAUCCGGAUUCACUGGGUUUAAAGGGUGUGUAGGCGGAUUUUUAAGUCAGUGGUGAAAUCUCCGGGCUCAACCCGGAAACUGCCAUUGAUACUAUUAGUCUUGAAUAUUGUGGAGGUAAGCGGAAUAUGUCAUGUAGCGGUGAAAUGCUUAGAUAUGACAUAGAACACCGAUAGCGAAGGCAGCUUGCUACACAAUUAUUGACACUGAGGCUCGAAAGCGUGGGGAUCAAACAGG